rnacentral:rRNA from 1 species
UGCAGUCGGGGGAGAAAGUGGACUUCGGUCCGCGAGUAAACCGGCGCACGGGUGAGUACAACGUAGGUAACGUACCUUUGAGUCCGGGAUAACCAGCCGAAAGGUUGGCUAAUACCGGAUACGACCGCGGGGCAUUGGCUCUGCGGUGAAAGAUGGCCUCUGUUUACAAGCUAUCACUCGCUGAGCGGCCUACGCACCAUUAGCUAGUUGGUGAGGUAACGGCUCACCAAGGCUGAGAUGGUUAGCUGGUCUGAGAGGAUGGCCAGCCACACUGGGACUGAGACACGGCCCAGACUCCUACGGGAGGCAGCAGUGGGGAAUAUUGCGCAAUGGGCGAAAGCCUGACGCAGCGACGCCGCGUGGGUGAUGAAGGCCUUCGGGUCGUAAAGCCCUGUCGGGAGGGAAGAACGCUCUCCGGCCUAACAUGCCGGAGAGGUGACGGUACCUCCUAAGGAAGCACCGGCUAACUCCGUGCCAGCAGCCGCGGUAAUACGGAGGGUGCAAGCGUUGUUCGGAAUCACUGGGCGUAAAGGGCGUGUAGGCGGCCUGUUAAGUCCGAUGUGAAAUCCCCUCGCUCAACGAGGGAACUGCGUCGGAAACUGGCAGGCUCGAGUACCGGAGAGGAAGGUGGAAUUCCCGGUGUAGCGGUGA